AACACGACAGUGUUCUUGUUUUCCAGCUCUGCGGUGCUCCGUGACGGCUGUAGCAUUCAGCUUCCGUCCCCUGUGUCAUUGAUUAUCGUGUUUUGAGAUUUAGCUCCUCGAGUAUACCGUGAGCCCUUUAGAGUGACUCGCCCCAUUACAGGUCCGCGUCGAAGGAGCCACAUCCGCCCUCCAAGAGAAAGGUGUACGGGACGUUGUGUUUUACCAAUUGGCCAUCUUCUACAUGUGUCUGGCUACAGUAAAGGCCAUCAUCUUGUACAACAUCCACGGCUACUACAAGGAACUAAAAGAGAACCCGCCGUCCUCGAACGUCGUCCUCUUCUUCAAUCCGCUGGGCGCACUGAGACAACCCUUAGUUUUCGUCAACCUGAAGACACCGGUUGCGUCGCCGACUACACAGUAGAAAGCGCCAGUCGCAUAAUACU